UACGGAGGGGGCGAGCGUUAUUCGGAAUUACUGGGCGUAAAGCGCGUGUAGGCGGCCCUGCAAGUCGGAUGUGAAAUCCCACGGCUCAACCGUGAAGUGCAUUCGAAACUGCAGGGCUAGAGUCCUGGAGAGGAAGGUGGAAUGCUUGGUGUAGAGGUGAAAUUCGUAGAUAUCAAGCGGAACACCGGUGGCGAAGGCGGCCUUCUGGACAGUGACUGACGCUGAGACGCGAAAC
rnacentral:rRNA from 1 species